rnacentral:lncRNA from 1 species
GCCAGAUUCCUCCAGAACUGGGGAAGAGAACAGGUUUUGAAGUUGGGGGAGGGUUUGGGUUUCACAGUGAUGGUUUCAUGAUACCCUGGAGGGUUGCACACUCCUGGUGCAUUUUUGUAUUCGUGCUUUGAAUACAGCCCGCUUCCUUUCAACCCUCCGCUUAAAAAGUUUUGAUGUUUUAAGGAAGAAAAAUGAGAUGAUUGUUAUUACUUUUCCUUUCGGGGCAAGUGGAGGAGACCUGUGCUCUUUUAUGCCGCUGAAGAAAGGUUGCUGGCAACCUCAGGCCUCAGGACUCAAAGAAGAGGGGCUUAUAGUCUCCUCUUUGGGUCUGUGUGUGAGGAGGUAGGGGGUGUUGCGCCGCCCGUGGCCCAGGGCGGGCCCUGAGGACCACAUCCCUGCCCCCCAGGCUGGUUUUUAGCCUGUCGUGGAAGUGCUGGGACAGAAGCAGCCCCUUCUUCUCUCACUCCCCGGCUGCCCCUCCUAGCCCCUCUUCAGGGGGUCCCCAUGUCUCAGCCCGAGGGAGAAGUUGGCUCUGGCCAGAGCCACGCUCACACUCCCACAGGAUGCCGCAAGUCCCAGGCCUGGCUCCUGGUAGCAGUGGUGACUUGGUGUCCCUUUUAGCAGGCUUCCAUUCCUGGGGAGG